AGAGGAUUCACAAGAUUAUGAGGGGUUUGAAAUUACAAAUUCAAGAGAUAACCUUUUUUACUGCUUAGUCUAGACUAUAUAUUAGAGAGUAGUCAAGGUGGUCAAGAAGUUCGAACUCAUACACCGUGAGAAUUUUUUGGAGUUAAGAGACAAGAGGUCUCACACUUUUGGUUAGUUUAGUGGUACCUUAUCGAGAGACGGGGAUUUUUUUUAGGAGAUAUUUUAUUCCUCAACAUAAUAGAAUAGUUGAUAAUGCUAUUCAAGCAUCUGCUGGUGGAUAUUAUAGACUAGACUCCUUCUGUUCAGGCAAAACUUCUUAAAUCAUUUUUCCUAGAUGGUCUUCAUGGUUUACAUUCUAGUUAUUUAGGAUAUUUUAGUAUAUAAUUAAUCCUAGGUCUUAUUUGAGUAUGGUAUCCUAGAGCAUCUUAAGAGGGAUUAUCCUAGAAUAAGGGGUGGAGGUCAACAACAGAGUUAUCAGGCUCUAAUUAGGGAAAUAGCACCCAAGUAGGGGUCAAAAUAUACCUUAGGCAGGUAAAGAUACACCACUAUCUGAUGGAG
rnacentral:lncRNA from 1 species